UUCAAGAUACAUGCUUCGCUAAACUGGCUGAGAACACACCGGAGCGUUUCCACUGAGGGCUUUUUAAGGCAUUUAAGAGUCUUGCUCUCUUCAAAAGGUACCCUCGGCUUGUUUACACCCUGGAUGAUAAGAAUAAGAAGCUCCGGAUGUGGUGUCAAGAACUUCAGUGCCGCCUCUGUCGUCUGGAUCCCGGGUGAUUGAGAGACUGCAGGAAUUUUUAGAGAUAUGGACUCUGAGGAAUGUUCCCAUGAAUCCUGUCUACCCAGAUUGCAACUUGAAUACCAGAACACAUUGUUUGAAUACAUAAUUCAAGGUCAACAAGAAGGUGUUCCAUUGUAUGAUUUAGUCAUG
rnacentral:lncRNA from 1 species